GAGGGUAUAGCUCAAGUGGCAGAGCAUGUGCUUAGCAUGCACUAGGUCCUGGGUUCAAUCCCCAGUACCUCCA
rfam:Camelus ferus unplaced genomic scaffold scaffold340, whole genome shotgun sequence.